rnacentral:rRNA from 1 species
GCAAGUCGAGCGAAUGGAUUGAGAGCUUGCUCUCAAGAAGUUAGCGGCGGACGGGUGAGUAACACGUGGGUAACCUGCCCAUAAGACUGGGAUAACUCCGGGAAACCGGGGCUAAUACCGGAUAACAUUUUGAACUGCAUGGUUCGAAAUUGAAAGGCGGCUUCGGCUGUCACUUAUGGAUGGACCCGCGUCGCAUUAGCUAGUUGGUGAGGUAACGGCUCACCAAGGCAACGAUGCGUAGCCGACCUGAGAGGGUGAUCGGCCACACUGGGACUGAGACACGGCCCAGACUCCUACGGGAGGCAGCAGUAGGGAAUCUUCCGCAAUGGACGAAAGUCUGACGGAGCAACGCCGCGUGAGUGAUGAAGGCUUUCGGGUCGUAAAACUCUGUUGUUAGGGAAGAACAAGUGCUAGUUGAAUAAGCUGGCACCUUGACGGUACCUAACCAGAAAGCCACGGCUAACUACGUGCCAGCAGCCGCGGUAAUACGUAGGUGGCAAGCGUUAUCCGGAAUUAUUGGGCGUAAAGCGCGCGCAGGUGGUUUCUUAAGUCUGAUGUGAAAGCCCACGGCUCAACCGUGGAGGGUCAUUGGAAACUGGGAGACUUGAGUGCAGAAGAGGAAAGUGG